AUUGAACGCUGGCGGCAGGCCUAACACAUGCAAGUCGAGCGGAUGAAGGGAGCUUGCUCCUGGAUUCAGCGGCGGACGGGUGAGUAAUGCCUAGGAAUCUGCCUGGUAGUGCGGGAUAACGUCCGGAAACGGGCGCUAAUACCGCAUACGUCCUGAGGGAGAAAGUGGGGGAUCUUCGGACCUCACGCUAUCAGAUGAGCCUAAGUCGGAUUAGCUAGUUGGUGGGGUAAAGGCCUACCAAGGCGACGAUCCGUAACUGGUCUGAGAGGAUGAUCAGUCACACUGGAACUGAGACACGGUCCAGACUCCUAAGGGAGGCAGCAGUCGGGAAUAUUGGACAAUGGGCGAAAGCCUGAUCCAGCCAUGCCGCGUGUGUGAAGAAGGUCUUCGGAUUGUAAAGCACUUUAAGUUGGGAGGAAGGGCAGUAAGUUGAUACCUUGCUGUUUUGACGUUACCAACAGAAUAAGCACCGGCUAACUUCGUG
rnacentral:rRNA from 1 species